rnacentral:lncRNA from 1 species
UAGGUGGAGGGUUAAGUUGUCAAUUUGGGAUCUUUCUUCUUUUUUGAGAAAGGCCUGUAUUGCUAUAAAUUUCCCUCUGAGCACUGCUUUCACAGCAUCCCAUAGAUUUUGAGAGGUUGUGUCUUCAUUAUCAUGUGUUUCAAGGUAGUUUUUAAUUUCCUUUUUGAUUUCCUCAUUGACCCUUUGGUUUUUUAGUAGCAUGUUGUUUAGUCUCCAUGUAGUAGGUUUUUUCUCUUUCCUUUUCCCAUGGUUGAUUUCUAAUUUCAUGGCAUUGUGGUCAGAGAAGAUAAUUGAGAUAAUUUCUAUGCUCCUAAAUUUAUUGAGAUUCCCUUUGUGUCCCAAUAUGUGGUCGAUUCUUGAGAAUGUUCCAUGAGCAUUUGAGAAGAAUGUGUAUUCUGCUUUUUUUGGAUGUAGUGUCCUGAAGAUAUCAAUUCAGUCUAACUUUUCUAUGGUUUCCUUUAGGAUCUCUGUUGCUUUAUUGGUUUUCUCUCUAGAGGAUCUGUCCAUUGCUGUGAGGGGGGUAUUAAGGUCUCCUACUAUGAUUGUAUUCAUAUCAAUAUCUCCCUUUAUGUCUGUUAAUAUUUGUUGUAUGUAUCUGGGUGCUCCUAUAUUUGGGGCAUAUAUGUUGAUGAUAGUGACCUCCUCUCCUUGGAUGGAUCCCUUAAUCAUUAAGUAGUGUCCUUCUUUGUCUUUCUUUAUGUCUUUUGUUUUAAAGUCUAUUUUGUCUGAUAUGAGCGUUGCGACUCCUGCUUUUCUGUCAUGUCUAUUGGCGUGAAAUAUUUUUCCCCACCCUUUCACUUUCAAUCUAUAUGUAUCUUUUGUCCCAAGGUGAGUUUCUUGUAGGCAGCAUAUUGAAGGUUUUUGCCUUUUUAUCCACUCAGCCACUCUGUGUCUUUUGAUUGGGGCAUUCAGUCCAUUGACAUUUAAGGUGAUAAUUGAUAGAUGAUUAUUUAUUGCCAUUUGAACCUCAUGUUCCAGUUGAUUCUAUGGUUCUCCAUUCUUCCUUUCUUUCUUUUUUUUUUUUUUUUUGGUUGGAUGGUCUCCUGUUAUUAUCUGCUUGAGUGUAUUUUUUUUUUUUUUUUUUGCAAAUGCAAUAUUUGGUUUUGGCUUGUGGUUGCCCUGUUUUUUUAGUAUGCUAACCCCUUCCCAUAAUUGUGUGUUUUAGCCUGAUGGUCCUGUAAGUUCAAACACUUCAUUACUAGAUUAAAAUUAAGAAGAGAAACAUACAAACAAACAAAAAGGGUUAUUUACUUCCUAACAUCCCUUGCCCACAUUUUAUGGUUUUGAUGACUCUUUUUUAUUUUUUUCUUUUUAAUUUUAUUUUGUUUGAAGCAUGUUCAUGAUUAGGUCUGUAUUCUGGCUUAUUUGAGUGACUUCUCUCUGAUUGUGAUUUCCUCAGUCCUAGUUCUUCCUCUUCUUCUUUUUUUUUUUUUCUUUUUUCUUCCCUUUCCUUCCUUUCUUUUUGGUUUAGAGAAGCCCUUUCAAUAUUUCCUUUAACCUGGGUUUUGUGUUGCUGUAUUCUUUAAGUUUUUGUUUGUUGGAAAAAAUUUUUAUUUCCCCUUCUAUUUUAAAUGAUAUUCUUGCUGGAUAAAGUAUUCUAGGUUGCAUAUUUUUUCCUUUUAGCACUUUAAAUAUCUCUUGCCAUUCCCUCCUGGCCUGUAGUGUUUCUGUAGAGAAAUCAGCUGAUAUUCUUAUGGGGGUUCCCUUGUAGGUAACAUUCUGUUUUGCUCUUGCUGCCUUUAGGAUCCUCUCUUUAUCACUAACUUUUGCCAUUUUUAUUAUGAUGUGUCUUGGUGUGGGUCUGUUUGGGUUCGGAUUGUUUGGGGCCCUCUGUGCUUCUUGUAUCUUUACCCGGUAUCCUUUAGAUUUGGGAAGUUUCCAUCGAUAAUUUCUUCAAAUAUAUUUUCCAUCCCCUUAUCUUUUUCUACUCCUUCUGGAAUUCCUAUUAUGCAUAGAUUGGCCCACUUUAUAUUAUCCCAUAGGUCUCUUAUAUUGUUUUCCAGUUUUUUGAUUCAAUUUUCUGUCUGUUGACCGGAUUGAGUGAUUUCCAUUAUUCUAUCUUCCAUAUCACUGAUUCGUUCUUCUGCAUUAUUCAUUCUGUUUUUUACUGCCCCUAGUUCAGUUUGCAUCUCUGCAAAUGAAUGUUCUAGUUUUUCUUGGCUCCUCCUUAUAUUUUCUAGUUUCUUUCUGAGGGUAUCUGCAUUACUGUUCAUAUCUUCUCUUAAUUCCUUCAGUAUUUUCACUAUUUCUCUUUUGAACUCCAGGUCUGUCAGACUGCAGAGAUCUGUUUCAUUGUUGACUGUUUUAGGUGAGUUCUCCUGUUGGUUUGACUGGGGUGGUUUCUCAGCUUAUUCAUCUUGCUUGUUGUUUUCUUUCUCCUGAGGGAGUUGUACUCUCCGUUAUCGGGCAGUGUUUGCCUUGUCACUGCCGUGGAAUAUUUCCUGAGGGCUGGCGUUGUUGGUCAAUCUUUUUUGAGGCAGUGUGGCUUUUUUGGAGUGUUGAUGGGACUAACAGUGUUUCUUUGAAGCAAAGGAGGGCUUCCUGAGGGCAGACAGGACUGGGACGUCCACACCACGAUGGUAGCAGAUUUCACUUGGUUAUGCAGAGCUUGCUCUGGUGUUUUUAGGCUGUGGGGUUCUUGCAGGGGGCUGGCAGUGUUGGGCAGCUGCUCCUCAGGAAUGCAGCACCCCCUGGAGGCUGGAGCAGCUAUCUGGGUCACUGAGAACCUAAGAGGCUCUUCCCUAGGGCAGCCCAACUCAGAAGGACAGCCUGCGAAUGUAGGCGGAUCUUUUCACAGUCUGGCCAAGCUUGUUGCAGCUUUUCUGGGCUGCAGGGGCUCUUCCAGGGGGCUGGUGGUGUUGAGCAGCUAUUCCGUGGGAGUGGGGCACCCCCUGGGGGCUUUGGCGGGUAGCAGGGCCCUUGGAGACCCAAGAGGCUCCUCCCCAGGGCAGCCCGACUCAGAAAGACCGUCUGAGAUCUUUUCCCAACUCGGCCAGGCUUGUUGCAGCUUUUCUGGGCUGCAGGGGGUCCUGCCUGGAGCUGGCAGUCCUAUGCAGCUGAUCCACUAGGGCACCCCCUGGGGGCUUGGGCGAGUAUCAGGGCCACUGGAAACCCAAGAGGCUCCUCUCCAGGGCAGCCUGACUCAGAAAAACCAUCCGAGAAUUAGGCCGAUCUAUUCACGGCCUGGCUAGGCUUGUUUUAGCUUUUCUGGGCUGUAGGCCUUUACUCGGGGGCUGGUGGUGUUUGGUGCUGGUCUGCGGAAGUGUAGCCCCUCCAAAGGGCAAGCAGCCCUGUGGAGGGACAUCCCCUGCGGUAGUAGGCUUCAGGCAAUUGUUGAGGCCAGCCCUCCUGGAUGGCAGGCAGCCCCAGGUCUGGUGAGAGCGUAGGGCAUGGUGGGGGUGGGGGGAGGGGAUGCACUGGGAAGCACAGCUUUCUGCUAGCUUGUAAGCUUGCUGUGGCAUGGGGGUAUUCUAUGGGAACCCACCCCUUCUUCUCUCCCCUCCCCAGCACGGGCGCAGACCAGGCUCUUCUCCCAGGUUCCCUCUGAUGCGGCUUUCCACUUCCCCACCCCUAGAGUAUUGUUCCCUUCCUCUGCGACAGCUUUGUUUUCUAGUCUCCCAGGCAGUCUCUGCCCCAUCAAAUGGUUUCUAGACCUCCCAAGCAGUUUCCACUCCACCCCGCCCCCCCAGCCCGGGGACUAACCUUCGGAGGCGAGGUCUCGGUGCCCAGCCCCCACCCAGGCGUCUCAAUUUUUGGUGACUGUGCCUGUAGUUCAGAUGGUCCAUUGGGUUCUUGAUUGGCUUUUCCGUACUCCAGCUUACUGCUACACUCUUCUCUGCAUCUGGAGAUUCCUCCAGUUUGUUUGAUCUUUCCCCCGGUAGGUGACUUUCCAGGGUGCAGGAUCCCUUUCUCCUCCGCAGUUCCCUUUCGGGAGCGCCCGUCCCGCUCGGAUUCACCUUCUCUCACUCUCCUCUUUUCUCCUGUUCUGCCCAGUAAUGUCACGAACUUUUUGCCGUUAUUGGAGCUUAGGUUCCUCUGCCAGCGAUUGGUUGCUGUUCUGUGCAAGUCAUUUAUUCUGUAGAUGUGCUUUUUUUGUUGUGUUUGUGGGAGAGGGCGGGCGUGUCCCCCUACUCCUCCACCAUCUUGUCCUCUCUCUCUGCCCAUUUUUUGAUGGAGUAGUUUGAUUUUUUGGCAUUGAGCUACAGGAGGUGUUUAUAUAUUUUGGGGAUUAAUCCUUUGUUGGUUGCUUCAUUUGAAAAUAUUUUCUCCCAUUCUGUGGGUUGUCUUUUCAUUUUGUUUAAGAUUUCCUUUGCUGUGGAAAAACUUUUAAGUUUAAUUAGGUCCCAUUUUUUUGUUGGUUUUUUUUGUUGUUGUUGUCUUUACUCUAGGAGGUGUAUCUGAGAGGAUAUUGCUGUGGUUUAUGUCCGAGAGUGCUUGGUCUGUUUUCCUCUAAGAGUUUUAUAGUAUCUGGUCUUAUAUUUACGUCUUUAAUCCAUUUUGAGUUUAUUUUUUGUGUAUGGUCUUCCUCAAGAUUCUUUAGUUGUUCCUUUAUUGAGGUAAUACUCUUCCAACCUUCCCUAUCCUUUGAAAAUUCAUAAAAACUACAGGAUGGGGAUGGGAAUGGAAUGAUAAGAAAAGACAUGAUUUACUGGGAAAUAGUGGAGAAAAGAUGUUCACAAGUAAGGAUGAUAGGAGAGAAAGGCAAAUGCAGAUAUCAAAUAGUUAAUUGUAACAUGAUACCAAAUUCAAAAGCU